rnacentral:piRNA from 1 species
UAUGACAAAGUAGAGGUAGUAGA